rnacentral:lncRNA from 1 species
UCCGCCACAACAUCACCAUCAACCAAUUCAGUACCCACCAACCACCACUUACCACAAUCCCCAAAACACACCACAAUUCAUUCUCGAUCCUAACUCAACCAAUGACCAUCAUUACACCCAAGUCUCUGGCACUCAUUGUCAUGCCCCAACCUUGGGAGGCGUGGCUGGCACCCGGUGCCGUACUGGCCUAAGCGAAUCACUCUGUAACUCAUUCAUUCCUUGUGUAACUAUCAUGUGCCAAAUCACUACAACUCGUAAUGUACAAUUGUAAGUGGGAAAAUGUUAUAUUAAUGAACCAUCGUUCAUAAAACAUUAAUAAAUAUGGAUCGUCAAGGCCUCUAACAUACUGUACAACAUGGACCUCCAUCUACAAAGCCUCUAAGAUUAUUUAACAUCAAAUGGGAUAGGGUAUCGGCUGACCCAUAAGUAUGUAGUAAAACUCUGACACGAUGACUCAUAGACUCGGCUGCACUCCGAAUGAGGUGGAGUCUUACCGAUCCUUCACUGAAUGCCAAUCUCGUCUACGAUGAGGGCUCGUCAAACUGAUUAUCUAUACCUGCAGGUAUGAAUGUAGCGUCCCCAACAAAAAGACGUCAGUACGAAUAAUAUACCUAGUAUGUAAGGCAGAACUGAAAUAUAACAAUAAGUCAACAUUAAUUAAUGACAUAUGAGAAUCAACCUGCAUCUCUGAAGCGCCACCAUAUAUUCAUACUUGCAUAUAUAAUGCUUCACUUUGAGACUAUUAUUCAUAUCGUAUGAUGCAUGACUGCCCAACUGAUUAGUGGUAACUGCCCGACCGGCCGUAGCGCGGUGCUAAAUGCAUGACUGCCCGACCGGCCGUAGCUCGGUGGUGAAUAUGUAACUGCCCAACCGACCGUAGCUCGAUGGUAAAUGUGUAACUACCCAACCGGCCGUAGCUCGGUGGUAAAUAUGUAACUGCCCAACCGGCCGUAGCUCCAUGGUAACUGUGUAAUUGCCCAACCGGUGGUAAAUACAUGAAGAUGCAUGUAUUACUAUGUUAUAACAUUAACAUCUUUAUCAAAUACCUCAAUAAAGACUUAGGAGCAUACUUGGACAUGCUUGAAUAUCACUUUAUAUGAAUGAAUAAUACAGACAUCCUUAACUGCUAAGAGCAGAACCACUUAUGGAAUAACAUUACGUUUACGUAUCGUUACUUGGAUCAUGCCAAAAGAAAUAAGGGAUAACCUUAACAUACCUAAGCCGUUUCUCUUGAAACACGACUAAACUGACGUUUAUGGCUAGCUCAAGUUUGACCUUUGAAAAUGCUAUCGCACUGCUUGCUUGUUGAAUGAAAUACUAUAAGGGAAGAAGAGAAUUGGCCGAGGAAUUUCCUCUUUUCAAUUAAGCGGAUUGUACAACUCUAACUUUGGUUACCUAUCCAGAAAGGAAACUUCAUCUUGCAGAAGACCUAGAUUAAAGAAGGUUUACUAUCAUCUGUAGAGAAACGUCGAAUAACUUCAUGGCACUUAUACCAAAUAGGAGGUUAAUGAUUCAGUAGAGCUUCGACAUGAUACUUCUUCAGGAAUCAAGAGCAUCUCCAUGUUCUCGUAAAGGUGUCACCCUUCAAAUAUUAACAUUUAUCGACCUCAGCACCUCAACCCAUAGUCUCACAAAAUAAUCCACAUCAAUCAAUACCAUAACGUAAUAGCCAAUGCAACUUCUCAUAAAAUUGAAACCGAAUAAGAAGUCACUUUGAACAUCAACAAUUCUUUAUCCUUUUCUCCCUACAGAGAGUGGUUGAGCAUGUCGAGUAAUCCAUUAUCCCUCAAAAUGCAUCGUAAAGACAAUACAACCCCCAUAACUUAUUCAUUGAAAUAUAAUGAUCCCACAAGCAAGAAAUUUGAGAAAAAUUAACACGAUCCAAUAGAAUAAAAAGAAUGAGUCUUCGUGAUUGAUUAGCAAUGCAUCUCCCAGAAGAGUCUGGUUGAAAGCAUUUAAGUAAAAUUGUCAUUCAAUUUCUAUUAAGCGAACAAUCUGAAUAAAGACAAUCAGAAGGAUAUAUAUUGCCUUCUAUUCGGACUUUACCUCACCACCGCCCCUA